UGGCGACCGGCGCACGGGUGAGUAACGCGUAUCCAACCUGCCCUUUACUAUGGGACAGCCCGUCGAAAGGCGGAUUAAUACCGUAUGUUGUCAUGUUGAUGCAAUAGUUUUCAUGACCAAAGGCUUCGGCCGGUAAAGGAUGGGGAUGCGUCUGAUUAGCUUGCCGGCGGGGUAACGGCCCACCGGGGCGACGAUCAGUAGGGGUUCUGAGAGGAAGGUCCCCCACAUUGGAACUGAGACACGGUCCAAACUCCUACGGGAGGCAGCAG
rnacentral:rRNA from 1 species